AUUGAACGCUGGCGGCAUGCCUUACACAUGCAAGUCGAACGGUAACGGGCCUUCGGGUGCCGACGAGUGGCGAACGGGUGAGUAAUACAUCGGAACGUGCCCGAUCGUGGGGGAUAACGAGGCGAAAGCUUUGCUAAUACCGCAUACGAUCUACGGAUGAAAGCAGGGGACCGCAAGGCCUUGCGCGGACGGAGCGGCCGAUGGCAGAGUAGGUAGUUGGUGGGAUAAAAGCUUACCAAGCCGACGAUCUGUAGCUGGUCUGAGAGGAUGAUCAGCCACACUGGGACUGAGACACGGCCCAGACUCCUACGGGAGGUAGCAGUGGGGAAUUUUGGACAAUGGGCGCAAGCCUGAUCCAGCCAUGCCGCGUGCAGGAUGAAGGCCUUCGGGUUGUAAACUGCUUUUGUACGGAACGAAAAGCCUUCUUUUAAUACAGGAGGGUCAUGACGGUACCGUAAGAAUAAGCACCGGCUAACUACGUG
rnacentral:rRNA from 1 species